AGUGAACGCUGGCGGCAGGCUUAACACAUGCAAGUCGAGCGAGCGGCGGACGGGAGAGUAAUGUCUGGGAAUCUGCCUGAUGGAGGGGGAUAACUACUGGAAACGGUAUCUAAUACCGCAUACCAUCAGAUGCGCCCAGAUGGGUUUAGCUAGUAGGUGGGGUAAUGGCUCACCUAGGCGACGAUCCCUAGCUGGUCUGAGAGGAUGACCAGCCACACUGGAACUGAGACACGGUCCAGACUCCUACGGGAGGCAGCAGUGGGGAAGAUUGCACAAUGGGCGCAAGCCUGAUGCAGCCAUGCCGCGUGUGUGAAGAAGGCCUUCGGGUUGUAAAGCACUUUCAGCGAGGAGGCGUUACUCGCAGAAGAAGCACCGGCUAACUCCGUGCCAGCAGCCGCGGUAAUUC
rnacentral:rRNA from 1 species